GAUGGCCAACAUCCAUGACCUGGAUGGCAGCUGAAGACUCUAACUUGAUCUCGCUAGCUUGCUGUGUGACCUGGAAAAGCCCCUGCCACGCCCCAGUACACCUGCCUCUUCACUAUACACAGGGAGAUUGGCUCUGGCUGGAGACACUGAGGCCAGAGAGGAACAGUGACUUGCCUAAGGCCACACAAUCUGAAAUCGGGGAGCCAGCAUUUGAACCCUAGAAAUAUGGUGGCCAAAUCCAUUCUAUUAACUUCCAGGAUACACGACCUAUAAAGUGUUGUAGGCCGGAAAGGAGCAACCCGUUUUCAAGUGGAAGCUCAGACGCCCAAUACUCUCAGCCUCUGUCCAGAAGCCUUCAGUGGUCCCUGGGUGGGGAGUAAGGAACAGUAGAGGCAGGUGGCAGCUUUCCUGUUCCCAGUAUUAGCUGCUUGGGUUCUGUGCCUGGCUCUGCUCUGGCACCCUGAGAAAGCCCCUCCCCCAUCAAUUUCCCCAUCUGUGAAGUGGAGAGGUAUUUAGCUGUACCUACACUUUGGUCUUCUUGUGCCAUCCCUUCUCCUCAAUUGCAUUCAGGGCUUAUCCCACCCCGACCCCUAGUCUCCAGGUCUCCCUUCCUCUUUUCUACUCAGUAUGAAGCACCCUCAGCUGUCUUCAGAGUUCCUCUUUCCAGGCUCUACUGCAUCUGGACCUCCAUCCCUACCCAAAUCCUACUUCCACUAUUAUAAAAUAUAUUGCAUUCCUUAGAUAUUUGUGAUUAUUUGAAAGUCAUAUUAAAACAGAAGACUUCAUAUAUAUAUCCAUAUAAACACCACAUUCAUCAAAAUAUAGAAUAUUUCCAUCACCUCAGAAAUUUCCUUGAUACCCUGUACCUCUUUCCCACUAAGCUGCCUAGU